ACGGGUGAGUAACACGUAGACAACCUGCCGACAGGAUGGGGACAACAUUCCGAAAGGAAUGCUAAUACCGAAUGAAGUCAGAGGAGGGCAUCCUCCUCUGAUGAAAGAUGGCCUCUGAAUAUGCUAUCACCCGUUGAUGGGUCUGCGUCUGAUUAGCUGGUUGGUGAGGUAACGGCUCACCAAGGCAACGAUCAGUAGCCGGUCUGAGAGGAUGAACGGCCACAUUGGGACUGAGACACGGCCCAGACUCCUACGGGAGGCAGCAGUGGGGAAUCUUCCGCAAUGGGCGCAAGCCUGACGGAGCAACGCCGCGUGAGUGAAGAAGGUCUUCGGAUCGUAAAGCUCUGUUGACGGGGACGAACGUGCGGAGUGCGAAUAGCGCUUUGUAAUGACGGUACCUGUCGAGGAAGCCACGGCUAACUACGUGCCAGCAGCCGCGGUAAUACGUAGGUGGCGAGCGUUGUCCGGAAUCAUUGGGCGUAAAGGGAGCGCAGGCGGGCCGGUAAGUCUUACUUAAAAGUGCGGGGCUCAACCCCGUGAUGGGAGAGAAACUAUCGGUCUUGAGUACAGGAGAGGAAAGCGGAAUUCCCAGUGUAGCGGUGAAAUGCGUAGAUAUUGGGAAGAACACCAGUGGCGAAGGCGGCUUUCUGGACUGCAACUGACGCUGAGGCUCGAAAGCCAGGGAGCGAACGGGAUUAGAUACCCCGGGUAGUCCUGGCCGUAAAC
rnacentral:rRNA from 1 species